rnacentral:rRNA from 1 species
AUUGAACGCUGGCGGAAUGCUUUACACAUGCAAGUCGAACGGCAGCACGGGAGCUUGCUCCUGGUGGCGAGUGGCGAACGGGUGAGUAAUGUAUCGGAACGUACCCAGUCGUGGGGGAUAACUAUCCGAAAGGAUAGCUAAUACCGCAUACGUCCUGAGGGAGAAAGCGGGGGAUCGCAAGACCUCGCGCGAUUGGAGCGGCCGAUAUCGGAUUAGCUAGUUGGUGGGGUAAAGGCUCACCAAGGCGACGAUCCGUAGCGGGUCUGAGAGGACGACCCGCCACACUGGAACUGAGACACGGUCCAGACUCCUACGGGAGGCAGCAGUGGGGGAAUUUUGGACAAUGGGGGAAACCCUGAUCCAGCCAUUCCGCGUGAGUGAAGAAGGCCUCGGUUGU